GGAGCGAAGCGACUAGCGCACCUGCAUGACGCGCAGGGGGUCGGGGGUUCGAGUCCCUCACGGCCCACCA
rnacentral:tRNA from 1 species